rnacentral:rRNA from 1 species
UACGGGGGGUGCAAACGUUGCUCGGAAUCAUUGGGCGUAAAGCGCACGUAGGCGGUUCGUUAUGUCGGAUGUGAAAGCCCUUGGCUUAACCGAGGAAGUGCAUCCGAAACUGGCGAGCUAGAGUACUAAAGAGGAUCGCGGAAUUCCCGGUGUAGAGGUGAAAUUCGUAGAUAUCGGGAGGAACACCGGUGGCGAAGGCGGCGAUCUGGGUAGAUACUGACGCUGAGGUGCGAAAGCGUGGGGAGCAAACAGG